rnacentral:rRNA from 1 species
GAUGAACGCUGGCGGUCUGCUUAACACAUGCAAGUCGAACGGGACCUUUCGGGGUCUAGUGGCGGACGGGUGAGUAACGCGUGAGGAUCUGCCCAUAGGUUCGGGACAACAGUUGGAAACGACUGCUAAUACCGGAUGUGCCGGGAGGUGAAAGCUUAAGUGCCUAUGGAUGAGCUCGCGUCUGAUUAGCUAGUUGGAGUGGUAACGGCACCCCAAGGCGACGAUCAGUAGCUGGUCUGAGGGGAUGAUCAGCCCCGCUGGGACUGAGACACGGCCCAGACUCCUACGGGAGGCAGCAGUGGGGAAUUUUCCGCAAUGGGCGCAAGCCUGACGGAGCAAAACCGCGUGAGGGAAGAAGGUCUGUGGAUUGUAAACCCUCUUUUGAUAGGGAAGAAGGAAGUGACGGUACCUAUCGAAUCAGCCUCGGCUAACUCCGUGCCAGCAGCCGCGGUAAU